rnacentral:rRNA from 1 species
GACGAACGCUGGCGGCGUGCUUAACACAUGCAAGUCGAGCGACUGCAUUCUUUUCGGAGGGUGUAUGGAGCGGCGAACGGGUGAGUAACACGUGAGUAAUCUGCCUUUGGCUUGGGAAUAACUUCGGGAAAUCGGGGCUAAUGCCUGAUGUUUACUGUCUGCUGCAUGGUGGGUGGUGGAAAGAUUUUUUGGCCAGGGAUGAGCUCGCGGUCUAUCAGCUUGUGGUGGGGGUAAUGGCUUACCAAGGCUUUGACGGGUAGCCGGCCUGAGAGGGGUGUUCGGCCACACUGGGACUGAGACACGGCCCAGACUCCUACGGGAGGCAGCAGUGGGGAAUAUUGCGCAAUGGGCGUAAGCCUGACGCAGCGACGCCGCGUGGGGA